CUUUGACAUAACAUUUGCAUAGAAGACAUACUUGGUUAAUGUAAAAUGCAUAGUUAUUUGAAGUGUGAAAAGCGGAUACAAAAGAUGUGGCUGAGUGCACUUCCUUCUCAUCCACCAAGCCAUACUUUGGACUAACUAUGGUUCCAAGCAGAGAGACCAGCAAUAGUGAAAUAGUAAAGGCUCAAAGCAGGACCUUGUGUGGCUCUUCCAGGAGCAGCAGAAGGCCAGCUUGGCUAGAACAUGAAGAAACAGAAAAUGAACAGAAAAUUUCUGGAACCGAAUCACUUCUAGAAAUAUUGGGAGUUUCUUGGAUAUUUAAGGAGGAUGAAACAGAUCAUACAGACAGAGCAAUCUGAUCAAAAUGGUAUGCACUUCCAAUUCAUUGCUUGUCAUACACAAGAGCCUGGAAUUUGUCUGCUGAAUUCUUCAUGCAGUAACACAAGAAGAUACUAGUGGGCUCAGAGUGAGGCCAUGCAGUGUGUAUCAGAAGCCUUGACCUUGGAGUUUGCACAUGUGUGAAGAAUGAAACCACCCUUUCUCCAGUGGCGCAUCAGGCUUGGAAUGGAGACCCUAGGAAGAUCCCUUGCUCCUUCAGCAGUGUGAACACAACAAGAAGAUGGCCAUUCAUCUAGGAGUCAAGAACCAACCUGUGACACCUUGAUGUGGGGUGUACCAGCCUCCUGAACUGAUUCUAGGACAUUCAGAUACAGAUUCCCAAGGGAACUGCAUAUUAUGAUUACAGAAUUCAGAGGACAGUUCAGAUAUACAGAUGGUCUUGGAGAAGAUAACUAAGUUUUCAAGGUGCUGAAGAGGAAAGCUGCAGCUCUGAAACUUACCUGCUAUGUUUUUGGCCCAAAGGCAAUUCUUCAUUAAGUCUUCAGUGUGCAGUGACCCUCUCUGGAUUCUAGUCUGCCUCCUAUUUCAAACUUUGCCACAGUAAGAGAGUUCAGAUAGCAAAGCCACAAAGUGUUAAUAUGAGAUAACCUGGGAGCUUCAGAGAGAGGAAAAGUAAGAAACUUCUUGAUUAGAGAUUGGAACAGGCAAUCAUGUAGAGAACAUUUGGUUGUGAAGAACCAACAGGCAGAGACUUUUCAGCCAUUAUGACAAGCUGCUUUCUUCACAGUUGCUAAGACAACUUCUUGGCUAAAAGAUUUGAAAGGCCUUUGCUGCUAGAUAGACCACUAGGGAUCCAUCAAAACAAUAAAUACAAUUUCCACAGGAUCUAAUAGGUGAAGAAAAGAUACACCGUUAUUCGGCUACAGCUUUUAUUUGGGGAAAGAAGAGGUGAGCAAGAGAGAUCUGGUGAAAGUCCAUGGAGAAUCAGGUGCCGGGCCAAUUACACUACUGCUCCCUCCCCUCCUGCAGUUAACUGAGGUGGUUGGAUCUUGGGAAAGAGGUAGGUAUCCAAGCCCAGAGCACUAGCAGGACAAGGGCCCAGAGAGUGAUCCAGAUCCACCAGUCUUCUUGCUCAUAGGCAGGCAAUUAAGCAAAUCACAGCAAGGGUGGAACUAGCUUGGAGACCUGUAAUUGAACUACGACGGAAAUACAAAUGAGACUGUGAGGACACUUUGACUUUGUG
ensembl:lncRNA